rnacentral:misc_RNA from 1 species
GAUAAGAACGUAGCGAAAUGCGAUAAGUAAUGUGAAUUGCAGAAUUCAGUGAAUCAUCGAAUCUUUGAACGCACAUUGCGCCCUCUGGUAUUCCGGGGGGCAUGCCUGUUCGAGCGUCAUUAUAACCACUCAAGCUCUCGCUUGGUAUUGGGGCUCGCGGUUCCGCGGCCCCUAAAAUCAGUGGCGGUGCCUGUCGGCUCUACGCGUAGUAAUACUCCUCGCGAUUGAGUCCGGUAGGUCUACUUGCCAGCAACCCCCAAUUUUUACAGGUUGACCUCGGAUCAGGUAGGGAUACCCGCUGAACUUAAGCAUAUCAAUAAGCGGAGGA